GAUGGGAGCUUGCUCCCUGAUGUUAGCGGCGGACGGGUGAGUAACACGUGGGUAACCUGCCUGUAAGACUGGGAUAACUCCGGGAAACCGGGGCUAAUACCGGAUGGUUGUUUGAACCGCAUGGUUCAAACAUAAAAGGUGGCUUCGGCUACCACUUACAGAUGGACCCGCGGCGCAUUAGCUAGUUGGUGAGGUAAUGGCUCACCAAGGCAACGAUGCGUAGCCGACCUGAGAGGGUGAUCGGCCACACUGGGACUGAGACACGGCCCAGACUCCUACGGGAGGCAGCAGUAGGGAAUCUUCCGCAAUGGACGAAAGUCUGACGGAGCAACGCCGCGUGAGUGAUGAAGGUUUUCGGAUCGUAAAGCUCUGUUGUUAGGGAAGAACAAGUACCGUUCGAAUAGGGCGGUACCUUGACGGUACCUAACCAGAAAGCCACGGCUAACUACGUGCCAGCAGCCGCGGUAAUACGUAGGUGGCAAGCGUUGUCCGGAAUUAUUGGGCGUAAAGGGCUCGCAGGCGGUUUCUUAAGUCUGAUGUGAAAGCCCCCGGCUCAACCGGGGAGGGUCAUUGGAAACUGGGAAACUUGAGUGCAGAAGAGGAGAGUGGAAUUCCACGUGUAGCGGUGAAAUGCGUAGAGAUGUGGAGGAACACCAGUGGCGAAGGCGACUCUCUGGUCUGUAACUGACGCUGAGGAGCGAAAGCGUGGGGAGCGAACAGGAUUAGA
rnacentral:rRNA from 2 species